rnacentral:rRNA from 1 species
AACAGGAUUAGAUACCCUGGUAGUCCACGCCCUAAACGAUGUCAACUGGUUGUUGGGAAGGUUCCUUCUCAGUAACGUAGCUAACGCGUGAAGUUGACCGCCUGGGGAGUACGGCCGCAAGGUUGAAACUCAAAGGAAUUGACGGGGUCCCGCACAAGCGGUGGAUGAUGUGGUUUAAUUCGAUGCAACGCGAAAAACCUUACCUACCCUUGACAUGUCAAGAAUUUCGCAGAGAUGUGGAAGUGCUCGAAAGAGAACUUGAACACAGGUGCUGCAUGGCCGUCGUCAGCUCGUGUCGUGAGAUGUUGGGUUAAGUCCCGCAACGAGCGCAACCCUUGUCAUUAGUUGCUACGAAAGGGCACUCUAAUGAGACUGCCGGUGACAAACCGGAGGAAGGUGGGGAUGACGUCAGGUCCUCAUGGCCCUUAUGGGUAGGGCUACACACGUCAUACAAUGGCCGGUACAGAGGGUCGCCAACCCGCGAGGGGGAGCCAAUCCCAGAAAACCGGUCGUAGUCCGGAUCGCAGUCUGCAACUCGACUGCGUGAAGUCGGAAUCGCUAGUAAUCGCGGAUCAGCUUGCCGCGGUGAAUACGUUCCCGGGUCUUGUACACACCGCCCGUCACACCAUGGGAGCGGGUUCUGCCAGAAGUAGUUAGCCUAACCGCAAGGGGGGCGAUUACCACGGCAGGGUUCGUGACUGGGGUGAAGUCGUAACAAGGUAACC